GGGGUUGUGGCUCAGCGGCAGAGCGCUCGCCUAGCAUAUGCGAGGCACUCUGUUCGAUCCUCAGUGCCA
rnacentral:tRNA from 1 species